rnacentral:lncRNA from 1 species
GCCCAUUGGGUGAUAAAAGCCAAACUCUUCUUCAGCUUGAUUUAACAAGGUUUGGAAUAAAUGAUGAUUCAAAUAUGAUAUUGGAACCACAAAUCGCUUGUUUUGAUUCUCUCCAACAUAUACUGCAAUGUGACCUUUUGGAACACUUGAAGUCUUUGUAUUUGAAAGAGAUCGUCGAAGACUUUUCUUAAUUUGAGGAAUACUAGGUAAGUGAAUAGCCAUGGAUGUUGCAAGAAUGACAAGAAAAAGAAAUGGAGCUUAAGAAUCUAUUGGACUUGAUAAUGUUCUACUGCCUUGGAGAUGGAUGGUUACUCUGAGAUGAUAUAUGUGCAUAUAUAUAUAUAUAUAUAUAUAUAGAAGACUGGUACUUAGGGAAGUUUCUUCAUCAAAUUUGUCACAAGUUAAUUCAGAGGCAUACCUUAUGAAGGAUCACAUGGUUUUGUCCGAUGUCUUUAAGAAAUUAUGCACUUGGAAGGUCACACUGAUCCAUUGAUUUGUUGCAGAAACAGCAUGGCCUACCAAUAAAGACAAACAAAUGCUACUGAAAUGGCCUGUCUAACACGAAUUUAUCUAAUAAUUCCGAUCAUGUAAGAGUUUAUAUGAGGUAGUCAAGACAUAUUCUUGCUUAUCCUAAACACACAUAAAUCUGUUAAAGUCCAUCUUAAAUGCUAUAUUAUAAGAUAAGAAAACCAGACAUUAUUUCAUAAGGGCCAGUAUGUAAGGUGUUGAAUUGUUGAUAUCAGCAGAAAAACUUAUGAGACAAUACAUUCAAGUGGAUUCGAACCUGUUUCCACAAACGAUAGACCCUAGUGUGUGGCCACAUAGAGUACAAUGUGACCACUCGACCGAUCCUGAUAAUUAGUUGCAAGGCAAAGCCAUGUGAUCCUUCAUCAGGCAUGCUGCUAAACCAUCUUAUCAAGCAAUGAAAAUAAUUAAUCAUCAUUAAAUCAGAUUAGAUAACACGGCAGGUCGGCAGCCUCAGCAGUCAGGACCUUUUCAAUGUCAGCACACUUUAUCUUCAAUCUUCAUACUUCAGCAAAAUGAGAAAAUGAGGAUAUUGCAUAAACAUAUAUGUACUUUAAUUAUAUUCAAUGACUACAUUUUAAAUGGUUGUGAUUCAAUCAGCACGUAUCUGUAAAAUAAUCCAUUACACCUUAUGUGGGCUAAAGUUUCUAAAUGGCAGGUCAAAAUAUGUGCAACGUGACCUUUUGCAAUUCCCAUCUGGAUGAUGAGCACCGUACGUAGACAAACCAUGUGAGAAUCCAUAAGGGAUCCUAUUCAAUGUAGCCCUUGCAAAUGAUUCCCAUCCAUAUAUAUACAACUAUGAUAAUAAGGCUACCUCACAUUCAGUUGUAUUUCGUAUCCAAUAACUUUCAAAGCUUUCUUUGUUUUUCAGCAUCUCUGCAAUACUACACCAGACAAUGGGAACUCGUCUACCAGUUAUUUUUCAGGCCAAGCAAAUUAUUCGCCGGGUCAUUUUGGCUCCAAUUGCCACAGAUGUUCCAAAAGGACACUUUGCAGUUUAUGUAGGAGACAACCAAACCAAGAAGAAGCGAUAUAUAGUUCCAAUAGCAUAUUUAAACCAAGCUUCAUUCCAACAAUUGCUAAGCAAAGCUGAGGAAGAGUAUGGAUAUCAUCAUCCAACUGGUGGUCUCACAAUUCCAUGCAAUGAGGAUCUGUUCAUCAACCUCACUUCUAAGUUGAAUAGCACAUGAGAGAGGAGGGGCAAAGGGGACAUAAUAUGGUGGCAAAGAAAUCAGUUGAUGUUCCUCCCAAUAUUUUGUCACAUCAAACGACUUGCCAGAAAAAAUGUCUCCACAAUUUUGUAGAGUAGGAUUUAUAAAGAUUCAAAAUCAUGUGAAUAGAUGUUUUUGUAUAUUAGAUGGUCAUUACAGGGAUAUCCAUGUACAUUCUACUUUAAAUGUAAUGGGUCAAAGCAUGCAGUUUUUUGUAUGUAGGCUUCCUUUUAGUUUUAGCAUGUUAUACUUACCGAUUAAUUCUUAAAGAGUAUCAGUUUGAUUACUUGAUGAUGCUUAAAUGAUUAAACAAUGAUUAGCAUCAACCAACAUCAGAAUUCUAUUAAACACUGAACCAUCUAUCCUAUUAAGCUUUUAGAUCUCAGAAGUGCCAUCCAUAUAUGUUAUCAACAAGGGUGACCUGUCGUAUAAUACUCUUGGUUGAACUCGUGUCCGGGAACAAGAUUUUUGACAACUUAAUUCCUGCAUAACAUAACAGGUUUUUUUUCUUUCAUUUUUCUUUUCAUGACAAGGGGACUUUUUCCAUAGGAAAAAAGAAGAGUAGAAAGUAGAAUCUUAAAGGAGUUUUGCAUACGUAUGUUCUGCAUAGAAUGCGGCAUUUAAGGUAGUUGCUACAAGAUCAAUACAGAUACACACACACUCACACACACAAAGACCUAAGAGUACGUUUUACCUGAGAGAUGAUGUAAGAGCCUGAAGUGCUUAGUACUCUGUGAGACUAUUUAUGGAGUGAACUGGUGCUGGUGGAUUUAUCUCGUCAUAACAAGAAGAGAACAGUACCGCAAAGAGAUGUCCUCUCAAUCUGCAAAUAGAUCAUUAGGGAGAUAAGCUUAUAUAAUAUUUCUUGUUACAAAAUCAAGGUUAUUUGAUAAGAAUGAAUAUCAUCACUGCAAGAUUAUCUUUAACACUGAUACAAAAAGAACUAGAGAUAAGGACAAAUAUGUAUAAGUUUGUUUUCAAAGAAGCGGGCACACAAAAAGCUACAUUUAUACUAUAGGAUCACAUAUAUAUACACUAUAAUUAUCUGUUACUAAUUCCAAAUGUAAAACGAACUUGGUGACAGUCUAAAUCAUCAGUUGCAUCCCAUGAUAAGAGAACUAUAAGUCAUACACCUAUUUUGUAAAAACUGUACUUAGAAAAGAAGAGUAGGAAUAGAAACAGCGGAAGAUAAGAGAAAUUGUUGUAAAACGAACUUGGUGACAGUCUAAAUCAUCAGUUGCAUCCCAUGAUAAGAGAACUAUAAGUCAUACACCUAUUUUGUAAAAACUGUACUUAGAAAAGAAGAGUAGGAAUAGAAACAGCGGAAGAUAAGAGAAAUUGUUUCUAUUAUAUAAUGUUGUCAAAGGAGACAUUGUAAUCUCAGUCUCUUGUAUCUCUUUACAUAAAAAUAUUUACAUGUUUGCAAACUCAAGUUGUCACAAAAAUGAUGGUUAAGCUAAGAUAAAUCAGUCUCUGCAAAACCCUAACUUUGCCGUGUUUUCUCAAUUCUCAUCAUCUGACUCAAAUCAACUGGCUAGUUAUAUCAAUGAAAGUGUCUUCGUCACAUGGGAUAGUAAGACCACCCAUUGGGUGAUUGAACCCGAACUCUUCUUCAGCUUGAUUUAACAAGGCAUGGAAUAAAGGAUGGUUUAAGUAUGAAAUUGGAACCACAAAUCGUUUCUUUUGAUUCUCUCCAACAUACACUGCAACAUGACCUUUUGGAACACUUGCGGUCUCGGAAUUUGAAAGAGACCGUCGAAGACCUUUCUUGAUCUUAGGAAUACCGGGUAAACGAAUAGCCAUGGAUGCUGGAAGAAUAACAAGCAAAAGACAGGAAGACUAAAGGGUGUCUUAGACUGAGAAAAUGUUUAUUGCCC